rnacentral:lncRNA from 1 species
AUUGUUGUUUUAUUUUGUUUGCUAUAAAGAUUAGCCUCUUGUUCAAUGGAAAAUAUGAUCAAAAACAGUGUUCAAAAAUUAUUUAAGGGCCCCAUCACUACAGCAAUCAUUAGUCCUACUGUGUAUGAAAUUUCUAAGUAUUUCUAAAUGCUCAACCCUAGACAUGCCCUUCACUGAUAUUUUUAAUGUGCUUUCAGUACCUUGGCCAUUUAAUAACUUAUGUUCUUUUUUCAAAAUCUUAGGAAGAAAUUGUGUUUUGGAAUUGGGCCAACAGUAUGUGUUUCUCCGGUGGAUAAGCAAAAUUUCAUAAGAACAAAGAUGAUUCAAGCAGAUGUUUAUCAUGAAACUGCCAUAAAAAGCACCCGAAGUCACAAAGAUAAACAUCAAAUCCAGUCCUUGGAAAUUUCCCCCACCCUACCUGAGCAUCUUUUGAAGUAGAUAUUCAAUUAUUUUGAAGGAUUUUUAAAGAAUUUUCUAGAUUUCAUCUAAAAGACACUUUUGAAAUCUGCGUUAAAAUUCAUGGAAAUAUAUCCUAGAUGAAUUUGGAGGAAUGUAAGCAAGUAGGUACAAACCUUUAUUUUAUCCCUCAGUGACUCACUCAGUUGUGAAUAGGAAGGGCUCUCUGUGAUCUGGCCACAGCUUAUUUCUUGCCACAUUCCUAUUUUCAGUCCUCUUCCAAUCAUGUGGAACUUCCAGCAUCUCCUUACACAUGCCAUGUUAUUUCACACUUUUGUGACUUUGCUCAUAUUUUUCUCUCUCCCUGGAAAGCUCCCCGACAACCUCCACUGCCAUUACCCACUAGGCAAGUACAUCCUGUUUUCAGAAUCAGCCCAAUAUCAUCUUUCCUAGGGAAUCUUGUCAGACUGCCCUUCAUUACCAACAGACAAAAUAACUACCUUAUCUUUGGUUCUGUCUUCACUCUAGACCUAUGUAGCAUGCUACUUAUAACACUGCAUUGGUUUGUUGGCAUUUGUAUUUUCCACUGAGCAACCAUAACUUAUGUGUAGACAAAAAUUGUAUUGCUCACCUUUGGAUUACUAGGACCUAGCAGUGUUCUGAUUCAGAGUAUGUACUCAAUAAAUUCAUCUUGAAAAGUGAAUGAAUGAAUAAAUGAACGCCUGCAUCUCCAUCAUUGAUUUACUAUUUAAUCAGUGAAGUUUUUAAAUUAUAUUCCCCCAUAUCUUGAGAUUUGAUCUUGUGUUAAAUCAGUUGCACAUAUUAGACAUUACUUUGUCCUUUUCACUUCUCCUUAGCACAUAUGGGCUAUAUAAUCUUUAUAAAGGUUAAAGAAAUAUAUUGUAAUAUGUUAUAACACAAUCAAGAUACAUCUGAAACAACAUAGUGCAGGCACUAUUUCCGAUGUUCAACAUCAUGCUGGAGUAAAACUUAGAGACUCUUGGAAAAAAGAAAUACUUAAAUAAUGUCACCAGUGUAAUGUGCUACAUUGUAAUGGUGUUAUGCUUAUUACAUGUGUUAUCUAGUAAUGCACAAAAAGCCUAAUGGAUUUGCUCAUAUUUUCCUCAUGUGCAAAUGAAAACACUGAGUCUCAGAGAGAUUAAAUAAAUUGCCAAAUGUCAUGUCAAGCGAUUUUGAUCCUGGUAUUUCUAAUAUAAAAGCCCAUGUUUUAAUUUAUUAACUGUUUGACAUAUAACAAUAAUAGAUCAUUACAUGUUAAUAUAAAUAACCUAUGUAUGAAGACUAAUUAUAUUUUUACUUCUGCAUUCAAUCAACUGCAACAUGUCAUUUUGGUUGAUGUGUACAGAAAAUACUCAACAUCUCGCAGAUAUUGGGUUGGAAAACAGAGGACAUUUUUAUAUCUGUUUCAGAUAAAUGUAUAUAUUUUUCUUUGAUAGUACACCAAAAUUUGACAAGUGACUAUUUCUUAAAGGGUAGUUGCAGCAUGAAAUCCAAAAUAACAUCAAUAAACUUUUCAUUCUCUGUUACACUAAAAU